rnacentral:lncRNA from 1 species
GUGUUUGUUUUUCUAAUUUUUUUUUUGGGUGCAGAAAGAAAAGAAGUGCAAAUUUAAGGACAGCAUUUGCUCUCUUCUGAUAAAAAUAUACAUUUGUUACAUAGAUGGUUAGGAGAGCUUUUAGAAGUUUUUGAACUUUGUAGUUGAUUCUAGUAUUCUACAUCUGAUACUGAAGUUAGGUAGGCUUGUUGUUCUUGCUAUGG